UACGAAGGGGGCUAGCGUUGCUCGGAAUUACUGGGCGUAAAGCGCACGUAGGCGGGUCGUUAAGUCGGGGGUGAAAUCCUGGAGCUCAACUCCAGAACUAGCCUUCGAAACUGACGAUCUUGAGUUCGGGAGAGGUGAGGUGGAACUGCGAGUGUAGAGGUGAAAUUCGUAGAUAUUCGAAGAACACCAGUGGCGAAGGCGGCUCA
rnacentral:rRNA from 1 species